rnacentral:rRNA from 1 species
AUUGAACGCUGGCGGCAUGCCUUACACAUGCAAGUCGAACGGCAGCACGGGGGCAACCCUGGUGGCGAGUGGCGAACGGGUGAGUAAUGCAUCGGAACGUGCCCAGUAGUGGGGGAUAACUAUCCGAAAGGAUGGCUAAUACCGCAUACGCACUGAGGUGGAAAGCGGGGGAUCGCAAGACCUCGCGCUAUUGGAGCGGCCGAUGUCGGAUUAGCUAGUUGGUGGGGUAAAGGCCUACCAAGGCGACGAUCCGUAGCUGGUCUGAGAGGACGACCAGCCACACUGGGACUGAGACACGGCCCAGACUCCUACGGGAGGCAGCAGUGGGGAAUUUUGGACAAUGGGGGAAACCCUGAUCCAGCCAUGCCGCGUGUGUGAAGAAGGCCUUCGGGUUGUAAAGCACUUUUGGCGAGAACGAAACGGCGCUGGUUAAUACCUGGCGCUAAUGACGGUACUCGCAGAAUAAGCACCGGCUAACUACGUGCCAGCCGCCGCCGUAACAC